UCGAGAGGCUUCGGCAAUGGGGGAAACCCUGACCGAGCGACGCCGCGUGGAGGAUGAAGGCCCUUGGGUUGUAAACUCCUUUUGUUGGGGAAGAAAUGCGACCAGGUGAACAAUCUGGUCGUUUGACGGUACCCGACGAAUAAGCUCCGGCUAACUCCGUGCCAGCAGCCGCGGUAACACGGGGGGAGCUAGCGUUGUUCGGAAUCACUGGGCGUAAAGGGCGUGUAGGCGGUCAGAUAAGUGGGAUGUGAAAUCCCUCGGCUCACCCGAGGACCUGCAUCCCAAACUGUCUGGCUUGAGUACGGGAGAGGAUGGAGGAAUUCCUGGUGUAGCGGUGAAAUGCGUAGAUAUCAGGAGGAACACCGGUGGCGAAGGCGUCCAUCUGGCCCGAUACUGACGCUGAGGCGCGAAAGCUAGGGGAGCAAACGGG
rnacentral:rRNA from 1 species